rnacentral:piRNA from 1 species
UAGCAUGACUUGACCGGGAUUGGACA